GGGCUGGGGCUUAGUGGUAGAGUGCACACUUAGCAUGUGUGAGGCCCUGGGUUUGAUCCUCAGCAACACA
rnacentral:tRNA from 1 species